GGGUUGUGAGGUUAAGCGACUAAGCGUACACGGUGGAUGCCCUGGCAGUCAGAGGCGAUGAAGGACGUGCUAAUCUGCGAAAAGCGUCGGUAAGGUGAUAUGAACCGUUAUAACCGGCGAUGUCCGAAUGGGGAAACCCAGUGUGAUUCGUCACACUAUCGUUAACUGAAUACAUAGGUUAACGAGGCGAACCGGGGGAACUGAAACAUCUAAGUACCCCGAGGAAAAGAAAUCAACCGAGAUUCCCCCAGUAGCGGCGAGCGAACGGGGAGCAGCCCAGAGUCUGAAUCAGCUUGUGUGUUAGUGGAACGGUCUGGAAAGUCCGACGGUACAGGGUGAUAGUCCCGUACACCAAAAUGCACAGGCUGUGAACUCGAAGAGUAGGGCGGGACACGUGGUAUCCUGUCUGAAUAUGGGGGGACCAUCCUCCAAGGCUAAAUACUCCUGACUGACCGAUAGUGAACCAGUACCGUGAGGGAAAGGCGAAAAGAACCCCGGCGAGGGGAGUGAAAAAGAACCUGAAACCGUGUACGUACAAGCAGUGGGAGCACCUUCGGGUGUGACUGCGUACCUUUUGUAUAAUGGGUCAGCGACUUAUAUUCUGUAGCAAGGUUAACCGUAUAGGGGAGCCGCAGGGAAACCGAGUCUUAACUGGGCGUUAAGUUGCAGGGUAUAGACCCGAAACCCGGUGAUCUAGCCAUGGGCAGGUUGAAGGUUGGGUAACACUAACUGGAGGACCGAACCGACUAAUGUUGAAAAAUUAGCGGAUGACUUGUGGCUGGGGGUGAAAGGCCAAUCAAACCGGGAGAUAGCUGGUUCUCCCCGAAAGCUAUUUAGGUAGCGCCUCGUGAACUCAUCUUCGGGGGUAGAGCACUGUUUCGGCUAGGGGGUCAUCCCGACUUACCAACCCGAUGCAAACUACGAAUACCGAAGAAUGUUAUCACGGGAGACACACGGCGGGUGCUAACGUCCGUCGUGAAGAGGGAAACAACCCAGACCGCCAGCUAAGGUCCCAAAGUCAUGGUUAAGUGGGAAACGAUGUGGGAAGGCACAGACAGCCAGGAUGUUGGCUUAGAAGCAGCCAUCAUUUAAAGAAAGCGUAAUAGCUCACUGGUCGAGUCGGCCUGCGCGGAAGAUGUAACGGGGCUAAACCAUGCACCGAAGCUGCGGCAGCGACACUAUGUGUUGUUGGGUAGGGGAGCGUUCUGUAAGCCUGCGAAGGUGUGCUGUGAGGCAUGCUGGAGGUAUCAGAAGUGCGAAUGCUGACAUAAGUAACGAUAAAGCGGGUGAAAAGCCCGCUCGCCGGAAGACCAAGGGUUCCUGUCCAACGUUAAUCGGGGCAGGGUGAGUCGACCCCUAAGGCGAGGCCGAAAGGCGUAGUCGAUGGGAAACAGGUUAAUAUUCCUGUACUUGGUGUUACUGCGAAGGGGGGACGGAGAAGGCUAUGUUAGCCGGGCGACGGUUGUCCCGGUUUAAGCAUGUAGGCUGAUUGUCCAGGCAAAUCCGGAUAAUCAAGGCUGAGGUGUGAUGACGAGGCACUACGGUGCUGAAGUAACAAAUGCCCUGCUUCCAGGAAAAGCCUCUAAGCAUCAGGUAACAUCAAAUCGUACCCCAAACCGACACAGGUGGUCAGGUAGAGAAUACCAAGGCGCUUGAGAGAACUCGGGUGAAGGAACUAGGCAAAAUGGUGCCGUAACUUCGGGAGAAGGCACGCUGGUGUGUAGGUGAAGUCCCUGCGGAUGGAGCUGAGACCAGUCGAAGAUACCAGCUGGCUGCAACUGUUUAUUAAAAACACAGCACUGUGCAAACACGAAAGUGGACGUAUACGGUGUGACGCCUGCCCGGUGCCGGAAGGUUAAUUGAUGGGGUUAUCCGUAAGGAGAAGCUCUUGAUCGAAGCCCCGGUAAACGGCGGCCGUAACUAUAACGGUCCUAAGGUAGCGAAAUUCCUUGUCGGGUAAGUUCCGACCUGCACGAAUGGCGUAAUGAUGGCCAGGCUGUCUCCACCCGAGACUCAGUGAAAUUGAACUCGCUGUGAAGAUGCAGUGUACCCGCGGCAAGACGGAAAGACCCCGUGAACCUUUACUAUAGCUUGACACUGAACAUUGAGCCUUGAUGUGUAGGAUAGGUGGGAGGCUUUGAAGCGUGGACGCCAGUCUGCGUGGAGCCAACCUUGAAAUACCACCCUUUAAUGUUUGAUGUUCUAACGUUGGCCCCUGACCGGGGUUGCGGACAGUGUCUGGUGGGUAGUUUGACUGGGGCGGUCUCCUCCCAAAGCGUAACGGAGGAGCACGAAGGUUAGCUAAUCCUGGUCGGACAUCAGGAGGUUAGUGCAAUGGCAUAAGCUAGCUUGACUGCGAGCGUGACGGCGCGAGCAGGUGCGAAAGCAGGUCAUAGUGAUCCGGUGGUUCUGAAUGGAAGGGCCAUCGCUCAACGGAUAAAAGGUACUCCGGGGAUAACAGGCUGAUACCGCCCAAGAGUUCAUAUCGACGGCGGUGUUUGGCACCUCGAUGUCGGCUCAUCACAUCCUGGGGCUGAAGUAGGUCCCAAGGGUAUGGCUGUUCGCCAUUUAAAGUGGUACGCGAGCUGGGUUUAGAACGUCGUGAGACAGUUCGGUCCCUAUCUGCCGUGGGCGCUGGAGAAUUGAGGGGGGCUGCUCCUAGUACGAGAGGACCGGAGUGGACGCAUCACUGGUGUUCGGGUUGUCAUGCCAAUGGCACUGCCCGGUAGCUAAAUGCGGAAGAGAUAAGUGCUGAAAGCAUCUAAGCACGAAACUUGCCCCGAGAUGAGUUCUCCCUGAGACUAUAAGUCUCCUGAAGGAACGUUGAAGACGACGACGUUGAUAGGCCGGGUGUGUAAGCGCAGCGAUGCGUUGAGCUAACCGGUACUAAUGAACCGUGAGGCUUAACCUUACAACGCCGAAG
rnacentral:rRNA from 1 species